ACUAUCGGGUCAUUAUCACAUCCGUGAUUAGCCAUUCAAAGUUUUCCUAAAAGUCCACGUGCAAGCCAUCCACGUGUCAAGUCUUACACCUCAUCUCCCCAUGUCCAAGAUGUCUUCCACGCAUCUCCCAUCUUCCACGUCAUCUGCCCAUCCAAAUAAGUCCUUCAUAUUUCGAUCAUCUCCCCUGUUCCCAACUAAAUCAAGUUUAGCUUCUCCCGCUAGAUCUCCUCCCAGCCGAAUCUCCCAAACCCAGCUUCAUCUUUCCGAGAUCCCAACUUCCCAUCCCUUGUUUCACGUACAUCCUUUUCUGUGAGUUCAUCCCAGUUCCCCUUCUUCUGUGAUCCAACUCCAGCCUCCGAGAUCCUCUCAAACCAAUCCAGUCGUCCGCCCUUCCUCUUGUUCCUGGAUAAGCUCCAACCCUCACAUUCUUCCGCAUCCAAAGCUUCCACGUCAACCGCAUCCUCCCCUGUUUCGGAACAUGAGCAAUAUCCACUCUCAGCCGUAAACACCAACCUCAUCAACUUUCUUCCUAGAUCUUGCUGCUCAUUCCAGUUGUGAUCCUUAUCCACGAACCCAGCGUCAUCAUCCUCUCUCA
rnacentral:lncRNA from 1 species